UUUAUACUAAAAAAAACUUUCUUUUUUUUUUUUCAUUGCGUCUUUCCUUCUCCUCUUUCUCUCUUCUCCUCCCAUGAAAACCUUAGCCACCGCUGCUCUGUCCAACCUUCGAUCGGUCGAAUUUUCACAUCGGCUUGAGUUCAUUCCUUUCUCUUUCUUUCUACAUGUGUUGAUUUCUUAGUCUUGAAAUUCGAAAUGUGAAGGUAUGGCAUUUGGCUACUAAAAUCAGAUUUGAUGAUUUUGAGAGUAAUUUUUUUUAAAAAAAUAGAAGCCCAAAUCCAAUCCAACAGCUUGAAAACCGUUGGCUAAUGAAGUUUGGCGACGAAUUGAGGCUUCGUCGUGGUGCUUGACGGUGAUCGGACCUCAUGCAAGUAUGGAUUUCUCUGUUUGACGACGACCGGAAUUGAGUUUCUCUGUUUGAUGAUGACCGGAGCUCAUGCAAUAACGAUGAAAUGUGGGUUUGUUGUUGAAACUGAGAAACGAGGUCCAUUGUGGAGAAGAUGAGAGGCAGGAGCAGUUGGGUCUUCCCACCAACCAGGAGAUUGAGUACCAAAACAUGCUCAAAAAAUUCAUGGCAUAGAAUCCAAAUUUUGACCUCACCAAUGCUAGGAUGAUUUGGAUGUAGAUUAUUUGUUCCUUGAUUUUCGAUUACUACGACUUUCUUAAUUAGGUUUGUUCUUGUUUAUUGUUUAUUAGUGUUUCGCAAUGAAAAGAAAAGAAAAGAAAACAAGAUUCAGAUUUUCCGAAAAAGAAAACAA